rnacentral:rRNA from 1 species
GACGAACGCUUGCGGCGUGCCUAAGAAAUGCAAGUCGAACGGGGGCUUCGGCCCUAGUGGCGAACGGUCGCGUAACACGUGGGCAACCUGCCCUGAAGCGGGGGACAACAGUUCGAAAGGACUGCUAAUACCGCAUGUGGACUCUUUCGGCAUCGAUUGAGUCUAAAGGAUUUAUCCACUUCAGGAUGGGCCCGCGGCCUAUCAGCUAGUUGGUGAGGUAACGCUCACCAAGGCUCGACGGGUAGCUGGUCUGAGAGGACGACCAGCCGGAUUGGGACUGAGAUACGGCCCAGACUCCUACGGGGGGCAGCAAUUAGGAAUCUUGCGCAAUGGGGGCAACCCUGACGCAGCGACGCCGCGUGAAGGAUG